UAUUAAAGGCAACGCCUGCCCAGUGAAUAAUUAAACGGCCGCGGUACCCUAACCGUGCAAAGGUAGCGUAAUCACUUGUCUAUUAAUUGUAGACCCGUAUGAAAGGCAUAAUGAGGGCCUAACUGUCUCUUUUAGUAAAUCAAUUAAACUGAUCUCCUAGUUCAAAAGCUAGGAUACCAACAUAAGACCAGAAGACCCUGUGAAGCUUUAACUAUGCUAUUAAACCUAAUAAUAGCUCCUUUAGGUUGGGGCGACCUUGGAAAAAAAAAGAACUUCCAAACACACAAUAUACAACAAUAUUGAAUUAGGCCAACAAGCCAACAACGACCCAGCACAGCUGAUAAUUGAAUCAAGUUACUCCAGGGAUAACAGCGCUAUCUUCUUCAAGAGCCCAUAUCAAAAAGAAGGUUUACGACCUCGAUGUUGGAUCAGGACAUCCUAAUGGUGCAGCCGCUAUUAAGGGUUCGUUUGUUCAACGAUUAACAGUCCUACGUGAUCUG
rnacentral:rRNA from 1 species